rnacentral:rRNA from 1 species
GACGUAGGAGGCGAGCGUUGUCCGGAUUCAUUGGGCGUAAAGAGCACGCAGGCGGUUUGGCAAGUCGGAUGUGAAAACCCGAAGCUCAACUUCGGGCCUGCAUCCGAAACUGCCCGACUAGAGGUAGGUAGGGGAGAUCGGAAUUCCUGGUGUAGCGGUGAAAUGCGCAGAUAUCAGGAGGAACACCGGUGGCGAAGGCGGAUCUCU